GGAGGGUUAGCCUAAUUGGUAAGGCGGCGGAUUUGAAAUCCGCUGGGUCAUAGGGCCCUUGGGGGUUCGAGUCCCUCACCCUCCG
rnacentral:tRNA from 1 species